GACGAACGCUGGCGGCGUGCCUAAUACAUGCAAGUAGAACGCUGAAGGAGGAGCUUGCUUCUCCGGAUGAGUUGCGAACGGGUGAGUAACGCGUAGGUAACCUGCCUGGUAGCGGGGGAUAACUAUUGGAAACGAUAGCUAAUACCGCAUAAGAGUAGAUGUUGCAUGACAUUUGCUUAAAAGGUGCAAUUGCAUCACUACCAGAUGGACCUGCGUUGUAUUAGCUAGUUGGUGAGGUAACGGCUCACCAAGGCGACGAUACAUAGCCGAGCUGAGAGGGUGAUCGGCCACGCUGGGACUGAGACACGGCCCAGACUCCUACGGGAGGCAGCAGUAGGGAAUCUUCGGAAAUGGACGGAAGUCUGGACGAGCAACGCCGCGUGAGUGAAGAAGGUUUUCGGAUCGUAAAGCUCUGUUGUAAGAGAAGAACGAGUGUGAGAGUGGAAAGUUCACACUGUGACGGUAUCUUACCAGAAAGGAACGGCUAACUACGUG
rnacentral:rRNA from 1 species